GUCUACGGCCAUACCACCCUGAAUGCGUCCGAUCUCGUCUGAUCUCGGAAGCUAAGCAGGGUCGGGCCUGGUUAGUACUUGGAUGGGAGACUUUACUUUUACCUAGAUAAACCAAGACAAGCCUAGACA
ensembl:rRNA 5S_rRNA 5S ribosomal RNA